GGGGGUGUAGCUCAGUGGUAGAGCAUGUGCUUAGCAUGCACAUGGCCCCGGGUUCAAUCACCGGCACCUCCA